rnacentral:rRNA from 1 species
AAUGAACGUUGGCGGCGUGGAUUAGGCAUGCAAGUCGAGCGAGAACCCCGCAAGGGGGGACAGCGGCGAAAGGGACAGUAAUGUGUAGAUCAUCUGCCCUCAGGUCCGGGAUAGCUGCGGGAAACUGCAGGUAAUACCGGAUAACAUCCCCGGAUCAAAGGUGUGAUUCCGCCUGAGGAUGAGUCUACAUCCUAUUAGCUUGUUGGUAGGGUAAUGGCCUACCAAGGCGAUGAUGGGUAGCGGGUGUGAGAGCACGACCCGCGUCAUUGGGACUGAGACACUGCCCAGACACCUACGGGUGGCUGCAGUCGAGAAUCUUCGGCAAUGGACGCAAGUCUGACCGAGCGACGCCGCGUGUGGGAUGAAGGCCUUCGGGUUGUAAACCACUGUCAGAGGGGAUGAAAUGCCGUUGGGUUCUCCCAGCGGUUUGACAUAGCCUCAGAGGAAGGACGGGCUAAGUUCGUGCCAGCAGCCGCCGUAACAC